rnacentral:rRNA from 1 species
GGAGUUUGGACCGUGUCUCAGUUCCAAUGUGGCCGAUCACCCUCUCAGGUCGGCUACUGAUCGUAGGCUUGGUGGGCCGUUACCUCACCAACUACCUAAUCAGACGCAGGCCCAUCCUUAGCCGAUAAAUCUUUGACGAAGAUGACAUGUGACUUCUCCGCAUUAUGGGGUUUUAAUCAUCGUUUCCAAUGGCUAUCCCCCUGCUAAGGGCAGGUUGCCUACGCGUUACUCACCCGUCCGCCGCUUUCCAUACAACAGAUUCUACCGAAGCUUCAUCAAAUGUAUUUCUCGCUCGACUUGCAUGUGUUAGGCACGCCGCCAGCGUUCAUC